rnacentral:rRNA from 1 species
AUUGAACGCUGGCGGCAUGCUUUACACAUGCAAGUCGAACGGUAACAGGCCGCAAGGUGCUGACGAGUGGCGAACGGGUGAGUAAUGCAUCGGAACGUGCCCAGUCGUGGGGGAUAACGCAGCGAAAGCUGCGCUAAUACCGCAUACGAUCUAUGGAUGAAAGCGGGGGACCGUAAGUCCUCGCGCGAUUGGAGCGGCCGAUGUCAGAUUAGGUAGUUGGUGUGGUAAAGGCUCACCAAGCCAACGAUCUGUAGCUGGUCUGAGAGGACGACCAGCCACACUGGGACUGAGACACGGCCCAGACUCCUACGGGAGGCAGCAGUGGGGAAUUUUUGACAAUGGGCGCAAGCCUGAUCCAGCAAUGCCGCGUGCAGGAAGAAGGCCUUCGGGUUGUAAACUGCUUUUGUACGGAACGAAACGGUCCUGGUUAAUACCUGGGGCUAAUGACGGUACCGUAAGAAUAAGCACCGGCUAACUACGUGCCAGCCGCCGCAGUAACAC